GAUGAACGCUGACAGAAUGCUUAACACAUGCAAGUCUUUGGCGAAGCUGUGCUUGCACAGCCUAGCCAAGGCGGACGGGUGAGUAACGCGUAAGGAACUUGCCCUGCAGUCAGGGAUAACAGACGGAAACGACUGAUAAGACCUGGUAAAGUCAGGCGGACUCAUGUCCAGCCUGAUGAAAAGAGAUGCUGCAGGAGAGCCUUGCGUCCUAUUAGCUUGUUGGUGGGGUAACGGCCCACCAAGGCGAUGAUAGGUAGCCGGCCUGAGAGGGUGGACGGCCACAAGGGGACUGAGAUACGGCCCUUACUCCUACGGGAGGCAGCAGUGGGGAAUAUUGGACAAUGGGGGCAACCCUGAUCCAGCAAUUCUGUGUGCACGAUGAAGGUUUUCGGAUUGCAAAGUGCUUUCAGCAGGGAAGAAAAAAAUGACGGUACCUGCAGAAGAAGCGACGGCUAAAUACGUG
rnacentral:rRNA from 1 species